UAACUUACCUGAUGGGGACACACCGUGACCGUGAAGGUGGCUUCCCAGGGCAAGGCUUGCUCUCUGCAUUUGGGAUGUGCUGACCCCGCAGCUUCCCCAAGUGGGGAAAUGACUGCAUAACUGGUGGGCGGGAUACGUUUGUGCUUUCCCCUG
rnacentral:snRNA from 1 species